AGAUGGCUGGAGAGGCUGCAAUGUGAAGGAGGAGACAGAAAUAAACCCAUCAGGCAGAGCUGGUAGCRCCGUCUCAAAUUAAGAUGCCAAGAGACUUCCACUUUCUGACUGAGAGUUGCUUGUGACAUUGCCAAGUCAUGCCUACUGAGCUGAAAUUUCACAUGCUUAAACCCACUUCCAAGAAAAGAAAAUAGCCUGGGGAAAAUUUCUGCCAACCUCUCUAGCCUUUUUCAAACUCAAGGGAUGGAAAAAACAUGUUUUGAAUAUAUUAAAAUAUUCUUAYGAGUAUUUCAUUAAGAAUCUCUAUGGCUUGAACCGCAGAAUUUCAGGAAGACCUUUUUGCUCUGGGAAGAUCAUGCUGCAAUCUGUUAUGUAACGAACCUCUGGAAAAUCCUGUUUAUACUUCACAGAAAGUUGGUACUGACUAGAAACUUGGCGGCUUAGAAACUUUCA